CCUACGGGUGGCAGCAGUGAGGAAUAUUGGUCAAUGGACGAGAGUCUGAACCAGCCAAGUAGCGUGAAGGAUGACUGCCCUAUGGGUUGUAAACUUCUUUUAUAAGGGAAUAAAACGAGGCACGUGUGCCUUUUUGCAUGUACUUUAUGAAUAAGCAUCGGCUAACUCCGUGCCAGCAGCCGCGGUAAUACGGAGGAUCCGAGCGUUAUCCGGAUUUAUUGGGUUUAAAGGGAGCGUAGAUGGGUUGUUAAGUCAGUUGUGAAAGUUUGCGGCUCAACCGUAAAAUUGCAAUUGAUACUGGCAGUCUUGAGUACAGUUGAGGUAAGCGGAAUUCGUGGUGUAGCGGUGAAAUGCUUAGAUAUCACGAAGAACCCCGAUUGCGAAGGCAGCUUACUAAACUGUGACUGACAUUGAUGCGCGAAAGUGUGGGUAGCAAACAGGAUUAGAUACCCCUGUAGUC
rnacentral:rRNA from 1 species